GACGAGGGGUCCUAGCGUUGUUCGGAAUCACUGGGCGUAAAGAGUUCGUAGGCGGCUCCGUAAGUCGGGUGUGAAAUCCCACGGCUCAACCGUGGAAGUGCAUUCGAAACUGCAGAGCUUGAAUAUGGAAGAGGGUAGUAGAAUUCCUGGUGUAGUGGUGAAAUACGUAGAUAUCAGGAGGAAUACCGGUGGCGAAGGCGGCUACCUGGUCCAAUAUUGACGCUGAGGAACGAAAGUGCGGGGAUCAAACAGG
rnacentral:rRNA from 1 species